UUUACAAUUAAAAAAUACGACUAACUAAUGGCGCUUUUCCAUCGCAUAGUACCCCACGGUUUGGUUUAGUUUGGGUCGGGUCAGCUUACUUUUGGGAGCUUUUCCAUUGGGAUCACUUCGUAGUACCCGAUACUUUUUUUCGUACCACCUCGGUUGGGGUUCCAAGCGACCCGAGCUGAUACCAAACGUGACGCGUAAACACUGUAGUUCACUGAUUGGUCUGAGAGAAUCGUCAUCGGCGCCGUCAUCCUAUUAUGUAAAAUAUUAGCUUUAGCUUGCUGCUAGCUUGCGCUGUCUCGAGCAAACAUGUUGUCAUCUGUGCUCUGUUUUAAGUUUCCAAACACCCUUUUAGCGAUUAAAAACAUCCACAGGUUGUGAAUCAGGAACACAUAAAAGUUUUUUCCAGACUUGCAGUUUGUGGCGGCACAUUCGCGACGUGCACGUCAGUAUUAUUUAUGCUUUAAUGCAACUUCAUUGAGGCUCAGCCUGAGCGCCGUCGACAGACGCCACGGGUGUUUGAACAGAAACUGUUAUGUGAGACAGAGUUAGUUAUAAACGCGAUGUGCAAAGUAAACUUCUAUUUGUGGUGGCCAAUUUUAAUUUUGUGGCGGCACAUUCGCGACGUGCACGUCAGUAUUAUUUAUGCUUUAAUGCAACUUCAUUGAGGCUCAGCGGAGCCGUCGACUGACGCCACGGGUGUUUGAACAGAAACUGUCAUGUGAGACAGAGGUAGUAUUAAACGCGAUGUGCAAAGUAAACAUCUAUUUGUGGUGGCCAAUUUUAAUUUUGUGGCGGACUGAUAAAUAAAUAAAUGUAUGGGAAUGUACAAGGACGCUCUCUCUUGUAUGAUGUCACAGCCGUAUGCAGCGCAAAUAUAACGACACGCCUAUAAUUCCUCCCACUGCGAAGUGAUACUAAACUCAAUGGAAAAGCUAACCACGCCAAAGUGAGGUGAGCUGACCCGACCCAAACUAAACUAAACCGUGGGGUACUAUGCAAUGGAAAAGCGCCAUAAUACUAAUAUUUAUUGGUGCACUUUCGUUUCUAAAACAAUGACAUAUAUUGCAAUGCACCUUGGAAAUAGUAGUCAUUUAACCUCAACAGCGUUCAAUCCGCUGUGGAAAAUGGACUACCUUUCCCAUAAUGCAACUGGUCAUGAUCAGGAACUUCCGCGAAAUUCAAACCCCCACUGUGUACUGGAUGAAGGACACGCGAUCGUUUGUCUUGUGGAGUUUUAUAUAACACAGUAAGUAAAAGAGACGCAACAUGCAUGACGGGGAUGAUAAAAUAAUCAAUAAGAAGUUUGAAUCUUUAAAUGAAUGCUGAACCCCAAAGAAGCCAAACGAAGAUUAGAUGUUUUCUGUACCAAACCACAAAUCAGCAUUUGCUGAUGUCAUGUACCACACUUUGUCAACAAUAAAUGUUGUUUCUGCAAUCUGGAUAAAGAAUAAUAUAUUACUGCCUCUUGGAGAACAGCCGGCCGUACUCCAGACAGAGACAAAGACGUGAGGACAUCUAUUGCUUUUGUAAAGGAAUUUUAUACCCAAGAGUUAUAAAUGUUGUCUUUAUUGUUUGUCUUAAUCUUUUAUUUGACAUUUUAACAAUAUAAAGUUUACUUAUACUUGUUUUUAUAUUUGUUUUUUGUUUGUAGAAGUCAUGUAUCACACUUUGUCAACAAUGCAUGUUGUUCUUGCAAUCUGGAUGAAGAAUAAUAUAUUACUGCCUCUUGGGAAAACAGCAGACUGUACUCCAGACAGAGACAAAGACAUGAGGACAUCCAUUGCUUUUAAGUCCUAUACCAGACUAUGUUGUUCCAGCUGUCUGGGUAAAGACUGAUACAUUACUGCCUCUUGGAGAACAGCAAACCAUUCUCCAGACAGAGACAAAGACAUGGACAUCAAAACAGAAAAUUAAGUACUUGAUCUUGGAUUGUUUGGAGUGAACGCUGGAAAAUAAUGAAGCAGGAAAUUAAAAUGCUUGACUAAAACAAUUUUUAGAAAUCCUUCUGGAACUCUGAAAUCUGCAAACAUAUUUUUUCCCAUGUCUUGAAUUGAAUGUUAAAAGUAUCAGUUCUUGGACUGGCAGUGUGUACUAUAUCAUUUUUUCCUUACUCUUAUUCAUUUUAUGUAAAUGUAUUUUCUAACUGUAUUUUAUGAUUUUUUCUGUAGGCUGUAAGAAGUCCUUUGUGUGCACAGACAUGACUGGAGAUUAAAGUUACUAAAUGUUGCUUUUUUUCUAGCUGGUGUCAUAAAUACAUUUGAAAAUAAUACCAUGUUAUCUAAUACACAUUUGCACAUCUGUAAACAUUCAUUUUAUAUAGGAUGUUUUUUAUAUUUAACCAGUUGUUGUAUAUUGCUUUCUGUUAUUACAUCUGGGUUUUUUUGCCUGUUUAUUGUUUAAAACAAUUAAGUUAAGUAAUUAACAAUUAAGUUAAUGUUUCUCUGUUAGCUUUUACUUUGGCUAUUUCUUUGUUUUUAUUUGAUCCUUCUACUGUUAUUUGUUUAUUUGGCUAUUUGGCAGAACAUUUGACAUUUCAUUUAUUUUGCUGUUAUCUGAAAUUAUCCUUGUCACCAUCAAUAAAACUCUCUAUAUUUGCUUUA